UUGGGGGAGCCCCAAAAUAAUAUUGGGACAUAUAAAAAGAGACAACUCUGUUCUGCAGAGUAGCUGGUGACAUUAUAGUUGCUCAGGAACUUUGUUGACUCUAGAGAACCUCAGGCAAAUCCGUGGCGGCGACUUUGCAUGCGGAUGUCAUCCAUAUCAACUUUCGAUGCCAGUUUCUGCGCCUACCAUGGUGACCACGGGUAACAGGGAAUCAGGGUUCCAUUCCAUACAGGGACCCUGCGAAAUGGCUACCACAUGCAAGGAAGGCAGCAGGCGCGCAAAUGACCCACUCCAGACGCAAGAAGGUAGUGACGA
rnacentral:rRNA from 1 species